GUCCCAAGGGUAUGGCUGUUCGCCAUUUAAAGUGGUACGCGAGCUGGGUUUAGAACGUCGUGAGACAGUUCGGUCCCUAUCUGCCGUGGACGUUGGAAAUUUGAGGAGAGCUGUUCCUAGUACGAGAGGACCGGAAUGGACGAACCUCUGGUGUUCGGGUUGUGUCGCCAGAUGCAUUGCCCGGUAGCUAAGUUCGGAAGGGAUAACCGCUGAAAGCAUCUAAGCGGGAAGCCCCCUCCAAGAUAAGAUUUCCCAGGGUCAAGAACCCUCUAAAGAGCCGUUAAAGACUAUGACGUUGAUAGGCUGGGUGUGUAAGCGUUGUAAGGCGUUGAGCUAACCAGUACUAAUUACUCGUGCGGCUUGAUCAU
rnacentral:rRNA from 1 species